rnacentral:rRNA from 1 species
GACGAACGCUGGCGGCGUGCUUAACACAUGCAAGUCGAACGGAAAGGCCCCCACUUUUUUGGUGGGGGUGCUCGAGUGGCGAACGGGUGAGUAACACGUGGGUGAUCUGCCCUGUACUUCGGGAUAAGCUUGGGAAACUGGGUCUCAUACCGGAUAGGCCCAUGGUUUAGUGUCUCAUGGUGGAUAAAUUAUUGUUUUGGUGCAGGAUGAGCUCGCGGCCUAUCAGCUUGUUGGUGGGGUAAUGGCCUACCAAGGCGUCGACGGGUAGCCGGCCUGAGAGGGUGGACGGCCACAUUGGGACUGAGAUACGGCCCAGACUCCUACGGGAGGCAGCAGUGGGGAAUAUUGCACAAUGGGCGCAAGCCUGAUGCAGCGACGCCGCGUGGGGGAUGACGGCCUUCGGGUUGUAAACUCCUUUCGUUAGGGACGAAGCCGCACCUUUUUUGGGUGUGGUGACGGUCCCUUUGUUAAGAAGCACCGGCUAACUACGUG